rnacentral:rRNA from 1 species
UCAAGUGUUUAAGGGCGCAUGGUGGAUGCCUUGGCACCAGGAGCCGAUGAAGGACGUGGGAGGCUGCGAUAUGCCUGGGGGAGUUGUCAACCGAGCUGUGAUCCCAGGAUUUCCGAAUGGGGGAACCCAGCACCAGUCAUGUGGUGUUACCCGCGCUUGAAUAUAUAGGGCGUGUGGAGGUAACGCGGGGAAGUGAAACAUCUCAGUACCCGUAGGAAGAGAAAACAAUAGUGAUUCCGUGAGUAGUGGCGAGCGAAAGCGGAUGAGCCUAAACCGGGCGCAUGUGAUAGCCAGCGGGCGUUGUGUGUUCGGGGUUGUGGGGCUUGCUGUGAUCCUCCCGCUGGGGGGUCGGGCAGUGAGAAAGUCGUGUGCUAGCUGAAGGGUCUGGAAAGGCCUGCCGUAGAGGGUGAGAGUCCUGUAGGCGAAAGUGCGCGGCCUGUCUAUGUGAGUUCCCGAGUAGCGGCGGACCCCGGAAAUCUGCCGUGAAUCUGCCAGGACCACCUGGUAAGGCUAAAUACUCCCUGGUGACCGAUAGCGGACUAGUACCGUGAGGGAAAGGUGAAAAGUACCCCGGGAGGGGAGUGAAAGAGUACCUGAAACCGUGUGCCUACAAUCCGUCAGGGCUGCACCGUUGGGUGUGGUGAUGGCGUGCCUUUUGAAGAAUGAGCCUGCGAGUUAGUGGUGCGUGGCGAGGUUAACCUGUGUGGGGGAGCCGUAGCGAAAGCGAGUCCGAUAAGGGCGUUGAGUCGCGUGUCCUAGACCCGAAGCGGGGUGAUCUACCCAUGGGCAGGCUGAAGCGCGGGUAAGACCGUGUGGAGGGCCGAACCCACCAGGGUUGAAAACCUGGGGGAUGACCUGUGGGUAGGGGUGAAAGGCCAAUCAAACUCCGUGAUAGCUGGUUCUCCCCGAAAUGCAUAUAGGUGCAGCGUCGCGUGUUUCUUGCCGGAGGUAGAGCACUGGAUGGCCUAGGGGGCUUACCAGCUUACUGAAGUCAGCCAAACUCCGAAUGCCGGUAAGUGAGAGCGCGGCAGUGAGACGGCGGGGGAUAAGCUUCGUCGUCGAGAGGGAAACAGCCCAGAUCACCAGCUAAGGCCCCUAAGCGUGUGCUAAGUGGAAAAGGAUGUGGGGUUGCCGAGACAACCAGGAGGUUGGCUUAGAAGCAGCCAUCCUUGAAAGAGUGCGUAAUAGCUCACUGGUCAAGUGAUUCCGCGCCGACAAUGUAGCGGGGCUCAAGCACACCGCCGAAGCUGUGGCAUUCGCACGUGUAUCUGGCGAAAUCUUUUGGGGUUUUGUCUAGGUGUGUGGAUGGGUAGGGGAGCGUCGUGCCACGGGUGAAGCAGCCGGGUGACCGAGUUGUGGACGUGGUGCGAGUGAGAAUGCAGGCAUGAGUAGCGAUAGCAGGGUGAGAAACCCUGCCGCCGGAUGUCCAAGGGUUCCAGGGUCAAGCUUUUCUGCCCUGGGUAAGUCGGGGCCUAAGGCGAGGCCGUGAGGCGUAGUCGAUGGAUAACGGGUUGAUAUUCCCGUACCCGCGUAGAAGCGUCCCUGAUGAAACUUUCUGUGCUAACCCUUGAUGUUGCUGGAGGCCUUCGGGUUGAUGGUGGCGGAUCGGGGACCCUGGUUGGGAGUAGUCAAGCGAUGGGGUGACGUAGGAGGGUAGCUGAGCCCGGCCGGUGGUUGUGCCGGGGUAAGCGUGUAGGGCGUGGUGUAGGUAAAUCCGCACUGCAGAUAGCCUGAGACGUGAAGCCGAGCCGAUUUUGGUGAAGUCAGUGAUCCCAUGCUACCGAGAAAAGCCUCUAGCGAGCUUCGAGCGGCCCGUACCCUAAACCGACACAGGUGGACAGGUAGAGAAUACCGAGGCGUUCGGGUGAACUGUGGUUAAGGAACUCGGCAAAUUGCCCCCGUAACUUUGGGAGAAGGGGGGCCGGACGCGUGAACACCCUUGCGGUGGGAGCGUGGUAUGGCCGCAGAGACCAGGGGAAAGCGACUGUUUACUAAAAACACAGGUCCGUGCGAAGUUGUAAGACGAUGUAUACGGACUGACGCCUGCCCGGUGCUGGAACGUUAAGGGGACCGGUUAGUUGCGUUUCGGCGUGGCGAAGCUGAGAACUUAAGCGCCAGUAAACGGCGGUGGUAACUAUAACCAUCCUAAGGUAGCGAAAUUCCUUGUCGGGUAAGUUCCGACCUGCACGAAUGGCGUAACGACUUUCCCGCUGUCUCAACCACAGGCCCGGCGAAAUUGCAUUACGAGUAAAGAUGCUCGUUACGCGCGGCAGGACGGAAAGACCCCGGGACCUUUACUAUAGCUUGGUAUUGGUGUUCGGUUCGGCUUGUGUAGGAUAGGUGGGAGCCGUUGAAUCCUUGACGCUAGUUGAGGGGGAGGCAAUCUUGAAAUACCACUCUGGUCGUACUGGAUGUCUAACCUCGGGCCAUGAUCUGGUUCAGGGACAGUGCCUGGUGGGUAGUUUAACUGGGGCGGUUGCCUCCUAAAGAGUAACGGAGGCGCCCAAAGGUCCGCUCAGCCUGGUUGGCAAUCAGGUGGUGAGUGUAAGUGUAGAAGCGGGCUUGACUGUGAGACUGACGGGUCGAGCAGGGACGAAAGUCGGGACUAGUGAUCCGGCACUUGCGUGUGGAAGCGGUGUCGCUCAUCGGAUAAAAGGUACCCCGGGGAUAACAGGCUGAUCUUCCCCAAGAGUCCAUAUCGACGGGAUGGUUUGGCACCUCGAUGUCGGCUCGUCGCAUCCUGGGGCUGGAGUAGGUCCCAAGGGUUGGGCUGUUCGCCCAUUAAAGCGGUACGCGAGCUGGGUUUAGAACGUCGUGAGACAGUUCGGUCCCUAUCCGCCGCGCGCGUUGCAGAUUUGAGAAGGGCUGUCCCUAGUACGAGAGGACCGGGACGGACGAACCUCUGGUGUGCCAGUUGUCCUGCCAGGGGCACGGCUGGUUGGCUACGUUCGGAAGGGAUAACCGCUGAAAGCAUCUAAGCGGGAAGCCUGCUUCAAGAUGAGGUCUGCUGCCCCGGAGACGGGGGUAAGGCCCCCAGGAGAUGACUGGGUUGAUAGGCCGGAGGUGUAAGCGCGGUAACGUGUUGAGCUGACCGGUACUAAUAGGCCGAGGGCUUGACU